CGCAAUCAAGUACAUGGAACAUUGGAACGGGGCGACACUAGCACAUUCAAUCGCGAAGGUAAGCGCAACCAAGACUUUAGAAAUUGGUUUAUUUGAAUUUUUACCAAACCACCCUAUGAUUUUGGUGUGUGUUAUGCAGGACAAGAUGCAUCUAUAUCGAUUGAGGUUGGUUGUUACUUUGGUUACUAAUGCGGCAAACAAUGCUAGAGAUAAGGUCUUGAAGGCAUGUCGAAUUUGAUUAAUAGAGGCCACCUUGGACAGGCAAGGUCAAUGAUGGAACCGUACUUGCAUGAGAGUGGGGCUGGUGGUGUCGGCAGUGCAUAAUCAGAAGGUGGGAGCCCUCUACUUUUUUUAAUGUUGUUUGUUUCUCUGGAAAAUUUAUAUUUGAGGGAAUUACCUUUCCAAUAAAAAAUAUUCAAGCAUAAAAGUAGACUUUUUCUUGGAAUCACAAUUAAAUACAUAUGAACUAAGCCAAUAGAUGAGUGUCCUUGCGAGUUUUGACAAGAGAAGACACACACUAGAAUGAAUACCCCGUGAAGUAUUUUAUUUUUUAAUUUUUUUAUUUUUGAUAAGUACCUUGUCAAAUGAUUUUGAUAGUUUAUUACUGAAAACUUUACACUAAAAUUAUAUCUGCUGAAACAUUUAGAGGCUUAUUGUUUGAAUAUUUGAGCAUUUAGGCUUUAUUAGUAGAAAUUUAAUGGUAUAGAAUCUGGAGGUGGUUUGUAAGAUGGGAAAGAACUAAGAAAAUAAGAACAAAAAAAGACCAAGGUUCUCUUCAUUAAUGCGAUCUCACUUGCACAUGCCAGUUGUAAGUUCUCAUUUCUUGGAUGGUUUGGAUCUUUAUGUUAAAGUUGUUAGUAUCAUGUGAAAGAGCUACCAUCAUACUAUCGACUUCCUUUUUUUGUUGUGUUGUGAAUUUCAUUAGGUGCUUCUGUUUUCUGCUACUUUCAACGAUACAGAUAAAAAUUACAUUACAAGAAAAGCUUUCUACCAUUAAAUGUUUGUAAAGAAAUAAGAACUAUCCUUGCAGUCUGUGAAGCAGUGUAAGGUGAAAUGCCCUGAUGAACUCUCCAAGAUGCUUGUGAUUAAAGACAAAAUUUUUGAGUUAUGACAUAAGCUGGGGCAAAAAAUUAUUUUUGUCAGUACGAAGAAUAGUGCAGGAAUGUUACACAAAGCACUUGUGGAUUUUUGAGUAAUUUUUUAUUCCCUGUACUGAUAAUGAAUUUUCAUAAUGGCAAUUGCUUCAAAUUUGUUUGUGAAGGUGAAUUUGGAUGUCAAUUAUGAUCUACCGCUUAAAUAUGGGACACAGGCAGAGCCUGACUAUGAGGUGUACUUGCAUAAAAAUGGGAGGGCAUGACGUUUUGGCCGCAGAGGGUAUGUUCUUAAUGUCAUGCUUAUGUUGUUGUUACUUUAUGCUUGACGUAAUACUUCCUCCAUUGAAAUGUAAUUAUUAUGCCUCUUUGUUUGUUGUUGAUCCCAUGAUUCGUUGUUGUUUCAAAUAUGGGAAAUCAAUAAUGUAGUUUGAUUCUCCUGUUGCCAAUCAUUUGAAGCUUAGAUUCUAAAUUUUUGUAUUCCCCCACCAAAAAAAAAAAGAGAAAAAAGUAUAGCAUUCUAACGGAUUUGUUUUACAUGAUUUUAUAGGAGCUGUUUUUAAUUGGAUGUGCAGUGAAAAAGACAACAUCCUAAUCUCAAAAAUUGAAAAUCAUUUUGGGGUUCAAAUAAUAGAGGUCAAGUCUCCUUUAUGAUUGAUUUGGUUGAGCGUUAAUUUAUAUAGGAUAGUAGAAAAUUUUUAAAAGAUUUUGGAAAUCAUCCGGAGUACUACAUGUUUGACCAAACCGGGCAAUGAUUUUGGUGUGUUGUGCAGGACAAGAUGCAUCUAUAUCAACUAAGGCUGGUCGUUACCUUAGUUACUAGUGUCACAAACAAUGCUAGAGAGAAGGUCAUGAAGGCAUGUCAAAUGUGAUUAAUAGAGGCCACCUGCAAUAUGGAAGGUCACUGAUGGGACCUUACUUGCAUGAGAGUGGGGCUGGUGGUGUUGACAGUCCAUAAUCAGAAGGUGGAGCGCUCUAUGCUAUUGUGAAGCUCAAAUUAGUUUUAGGUUGCACUAUUAUUAUCUACUAUAUUUUCUGUGUUUUAGAUAAAACUACUUCUUAGCUUCAUGUCACCUUCUUUUCCCUUCUUUUUAUUCUCAUCAUUAUUGGUAUUAUUAUUAUUAUUAUUAUUUUUUCUUAAUUGCAGGCGACAAUUGGAAAACAAGAUGGUUGACAACCAUAAAGACA
rnacentral:lncRNA from 1 species